GAUGAACGCUGGCGGCGUGCCUAAUACAUGCAAGUCGAGCGAAUGGAUUAAGAGCUUGCUCUUAUGAAGUUAGCGGCGGACGGGUGAGUAACACGUGGGUAACCUGCCCAUAAGACUGGGAUAACUCCGGGAAACCGGGGCUAAUACCGGAUAACAUUUUGAACCGCAUGGGUCGAAAUUGAAUGGCGGCUUCGGCUGUCACUUAUGGAUGGACCCGCGUAGCAUUAGCUAGUUGGUGAGGUAACGGCUCACCAAGGCAACGAUGCGUAGCCGACCGGAGAGGGUGAUCGGCCAAACUGGGACUGAGACACGGCCCAGACUCCUACGGGAGGCAGCAGUAGGGAAUCUUCCGCAAUGGACGAAAGUCUGACGGAGCAACGCCGCGUGAGCGAUGAAGGCUUUCGGGUCGUAAAACUCUGUUGUUAGGGAAGAACAAGUGCUAGUUGAAUAAGCUGGCACCUUGACGGUACCUAACCAGAAAGCCACGGCUAACUACGUGCCAGCCGCCGCCGUAA
rnacentral:rRNA from 1 species